rnacentral:rRNA from 1 species
AUGAACGCUAGCGGCAGGCUUAACACAUGCAAGUCGAGGGGCAGCACGAAUCAAGCUUGCUUGAUUUGGUGGCGACCGGCGCACGGGUGCGUAACAGGUGUGCAAUCUGUCCAUAAUCGGGGAAUAGCCCAGCGAAAGUUGGAUUAAUGCUCCAUGUGAGUAAGAGAGGCAUCUCUUUUAUUUGAAACGCAAGGAUUAUGGGUGAGCACGCUUCUGAUUAGGUAGUUGGUGAGGUAACGGCUCACCAAGCCGACGAUCAGUAGGGGGUUCUGAGAGGAAGGUCCCCCACAUUGGAACUGAGACACGGUCCAAACUCCUACGGGAGGCAGCAGUGAGGAAUAUUGGUCAAUGGGCGGAAGCCUGAACCAGCCAAGUCGCGUGAAGGAUGAAGGUUCUAUGGAUUGUAAACUUCUUUUGUCUGAGGGUAAAAAGCGGACGUGUCCGUUCUUGCAAGUAUCAGACGAAUAAGCAUCGGCUAACUCCGUG